GACCUGGCUUAGCUUUGGGCUCCGCGCGCUGUACGGAUGCGGCGCUUCCUCGCGGCUGCGAUAAAUAUUACCCUGUUGGCUGGGAAGCCGAUCUCGGAUUCUGUUCUUAAAGCAAUAAAGAUGUGGCGAAGGCCAUGAAGUGAGGCCUCUGCCACCACACUCGCUCCUGCGACUCCCCUGGGGAGAAGCCGAGUAAUGGCGCUCUAGAAACCUCCCCGUGCGGUCCCUACGGGGCAGAAAAGGCCCUGCAUCCCGGCAUCCGGUUAAUCUCCUGGGGAAGAGAAUAGAAGCAGCCAAGGAGGAUACUGCUGAACCAAUUAAGAGGCUAUUGCAAGAGAUCCCAGAAAGAAAUGAUGAUAACGUGGACUUGGGAAAUGACAGAGGAGAUGCAGCAAGGUGUCCGGAUUUCAGAGGCUUUGACGCAGCAUGAAAAGCCUUCACCAGAAGCUAAGCACAUGCCUGCACCAUGCUUCUUGU